GUGGGGAAUAUUGGACAAUGGGCGAAAGCCUGAUCCAGCCAUGCCGCGUGUGUGAAGAAGGUCUUCGGAUUGUAAAGCACUUUAAGUUGGGAGGAAGGGCAGUAAGUUAAUACCUUGCUGUUUUGACGUUACCGACAGAAUAAGCACCGGCUAACUUCGUGCCAGCAGCCGCGGUAAUACGAAGGGUGCAAGCGUUAAUCGGAAUUACUGGGCGUAAAGCGCGCGUAGGUGGUUUUGUAAGUUGGAGGUGAAAUCCCCGGGCUCAACCUGGGAACUGCCUCCAAAACUGCAUGACUAGAGUACGGUAGAGGGUAGUGGAAUUUCCUGUGUAGCGGUGAAUUGCGUAGAUAUAGGAAGGAACACCAGUGGCGAAGGCGACUACCUGGACUGAUACUGACACUGAGGUGCGAAAGCGUGGGGAGCAAACAGGAUUAGAUACCCUUGUAGUCC
rnacentral:rRNA from 1 species